rnacentral:lncRNA from 1 species
GGUCACCCCUUGUCACCCCUGGGACCCUCUGGACCCCCUGGGCAUGGUCACCCCAUGUAGGGACCUCCCUGAGCAAGGACACCUGGGCACCCUGGUCACCCCUGGGACCCCCUGGACACCCUGGGCAUGGUCACCCUGUGCAGGGACCUCCCCGUGCAUGAGCACCCGAGCACCCUUGUCACCCUUGGGACCCUCUGGACAUGGUCACCCCGUGCAGGGACCUCCCCAUGCACGAGCACCUGGGCACCCUGGUCACCCCCGGGACCCCUUGGGCACCCUGGGCACGGUCACCCCAUGCAGGGCCCCCCCUAUGCACGAGCACCUGAGCACCCUGGUCACCCCUGGGACCCCCCGGGCACGGUCACCCCAUGCAAGGACACCCGGCUGCCGCCCCGGCGCGGUGUCCCCUCAGCCCCCCGGUUGCCUGCCGCCUCACCUGCCCGGCGCGGUGCCAAGCGGGGGGGAUCAGCGGCCGCCGCCGCUCCUCCACGGCCAAGCGCCGCAGCCGCGCCGGCGUGGGGCUGCCGCCCAGCUCGGCCUCGUAGGCCAGCCGAAACUCGGGCACGGGGCGGCCUGCGGGGCGCGGGGUCAGCGGCAGCCCGGCACCCCGCUGCGGGGGGGGCCGGGGGGGAGGGGGGCACCGGCGGGCGCUCACCGGGGCUCAGCGCCUGGCACCGCGACAGGAUCUCCCAGAGCAGCAGCGCCAGCGCGUAGACGUCGGCUUGCCGCAGCGCCCGGCCCCAGGCCCGCAGGUCCAGGCUCUCGUCCAGGAUCUCGGGCGCCAGGUAGCGCUGGGUGCCCGCCUGCGCGCACCCGCAGCGCUCGCACGGGCACCGAGGGGGCUCGCGCGGGCCCUGCUGCCCUUGCACGGGCGCUGCCGUGCUUGCACAGGCACUGCGGGGCUUGCAUUGGUCCCCCGGUGCUUGCACGGGUGCUGCUGUGCUUGCACGGGCACUGCGGCCCUUGCACGGGCGCUGCCGUGCUUGCACGGGCACUGCUGUGCUUGCACGAGCAUCGUCCAGCUUGCAUUGCUCCUGCAGUGCUUGCACGGGCACCGUGGGGCUUGCACGGGCAUUGCCCAGCUUGCAUUGCUCCUGCUGUGCUUGCACGGGCACUGCGGUGCUUGCACGGGUCCCCCGGUGCUUGCACGGGCAUUGCCCAGCUUGCACGGGCACCGCGGUGCUUGCACGGGUGCCACAGCACUCGCACGGGCGCUGCGGCGCUUGCAGGGGCGUCAGGGCACGGCUCUCGCCAGCGCCUGG